GACGAACGCUGGCGGCGUGCUUAACACAUGCAAGUCGAGCGGAGCGGCGAACGGGUGAGUAACGCGUGAGUAACUGCCCCCCUCUCUGGGAUAACAGUUGGAAAAGGAUGCUAAUACCGGAUAGUGGGGGAUGACUCGCGUCCUAUCAGGUUGUUGGUGGGGUAGUGGCCUACCAAGGCGCCGACGGGUAGCCGGCCUGAGAGGGCUAACGGCCAAAUUGGGCGGAGAUACGGCCCAAACGCCUACGGGAGGCAGCAGGAGGGAAUAUUGCACAAUGGGGGAAACGCUGAUGCAGCAACGCGCGUGCGGUAGGACGGCCUUCGUGUUGUAAACCCCUUUCUCCAUCGACGCGGUAGAGGGAGAAGAAGCACCGGCUAACUACGUGCCAGCAGCCGCGGUAAUAC
rnacentral:rRNA from 1 species